GGGCAUGUUCACAAGGAAUCCAAGCAGCCACUGUGAGAAGUGGGUCAGUUCAGGCCUGAAGUUCCACCCCAGUUUAGCCAUUUCUCUUAUACAGGCAUAAAACACAUACCAGUGUGAAUUACUGUUAUAGCACGGAUGCUGCAGUUUUGGGGAAUUGUCUUCCAGGUCAGAUUUGUAGCUAUUGAGUAUGAAAAGGCUGACAACUCUAUAACCUUCCUUGUAACAUCUUUUUGACAGGCAGUGGUCCAGCCUGAAGUGGCUCAGGGAACACGGCUGUGGUGGAGUUGCCAAAAUUCUAAACCACAUCAGUUUUUAAUCAGGUACAUCUCUGCAUACACUUGUUUUUCCUAGACUUGGUCCCACAUGGAGGACAGAGGCCACCGAAGGGUCCCGUUUACUGAGGAAGUUCGCACUCCUGUGGGGCCGUGUAGCAACCCCAGAUGCUUUCAACACGGAUCGAACAGUGAGGGCAGUAACAUUUACAGUGUGCAGAAGUACUGCAACUUCAUCUCUUCAACAAUCAGAGUGGUGUCUUUCUCAUGCACCCCGGGGUCAGCAUUUGGCAGCUUCAGAGCCCAGCCCUUCAGCACCACCGAUCUUACCACUUUUCGCCAGACAGACCGGAGGAAUUUCUUCAGCCAUAUCCUGCUCAUAACCAACUCAGUUUUCUUUUCUUUUUCUUUCUUUUUUUUGGGGGGGG
rnacentral:lncRNA from 1 species